UUACAUCUUGCCUGAAGAAGGGGCCUGAGUUGCCUCGAAAGCUUGCAUAUUGUAAUCUUUUUAGUUAGCCAAUAAAAGGUGUCAUUUUACUUGACUUCUCACUGCAUUCAUAAUGACUAACACGGUACAACACCCUAGUACUACAAAUGUAGUGAAAACGCUAGCGUGAGAGGAAAUUGUUUUUUGUGUAAAAAUGCCACCUUUAAGUGAAAAUGUAGUAUUUUGGUCUUAGCCUUGGGCUAUGUCUGGCCUGAUUCUGAGGCUGGUAAUUUUCCCAGGCUACUCUUAAUUUAAAAAAUAGAUGUCUAUAUGUUGUAUUAUAUGCAGUGCCUUAAAAAAGUAUUCACCCCUCAACGCUGUUUAUGCAUUAAUGAUUUGUCACAACUUGGGAUUUUGAUCCAUUUUAUUGGGACAUCCAUCCAUCCGUUAUCCAACCCACUAUAUCCUAACUACAGGGUCACAGGGUUCUGCUGGAGCCAAUCCCAGCCAACACAGGGCGCAAGGCAGGAAACAAACCCCCGGCAGGGCGCCAGCCCACCAGUUUAUUGGGACAUUUUAUUUUUAAAUCCAAAACUUUCUGGGACAGUGCUGCCUAAAAAAGAAAGAAAGUAAUAUAACAUUAAAACAUGAAAUUCCAAAACCUGAACUGUCAACCAUUUGUAAGUGCUCAUUCCCCACAUCUUUUAUAGUGUCUAUUCAUUUGGAACAACAUGAUGGUGUGAGAUCUGCCCAUUCCUCCUUGUAAAUUUUCUCAAGCUGUGCAAGAUGAAGUGGGGAACAGCCAUGGACAGCAAUUAGCAGAUCUCACCACAGAUGUUCGAUGGGGGGUUAACUCAAGGACAUCCAUUUUCUUCAUGUGAAGACCCGUCCAUUGUUGCUCUUUGGCUCCUUGAUCUUCCUUCCCCGUUUUCUGUCAGAGGGCACCGGUUUUUACCUCCCUGAUCUGUCUGUGUGGUGUUCCAUGUAUCUGACCUGAUUGUCCAGUCCCACCACAGGGUGCUACCACAUUGGUGAUGGCGUCACCUAGCGUGUCUUGUUAGACUGACAACCACACGUACCACUUUGUGUUAAAGCCAACACUUUAGUCUCCUCAGGCCACAAGACAUUCUGCUGCAUCUUUUUAGGAUCUACCAAGUGAUUCUUUUCACUUAAGGACAUAAAUGUUUUGGGAUAAAAUGAAGGCGUAUUUUGUGCCAACGCUUUGCAGAUUGUUGAGCUAGACCCAAGCUCUCCAACCGUAAUCUCCUGCCAUCACAGUGGUCUGUGAGACCAGUGCCAUUCUUGAGGGCACCCUGACCUGGCAAUGUUCACGUAGCUUCCUGUUUCUUCCCCUUAUACACGAUGGACUGAGCUCUGAGGUCUGUUCAAUGCCUUUGAGGAGGUCUUUUGCCCAUUCCUCCUUCUGUACAUUUCUAGCCCCCCCGACUCUUUGGUCCUCAUCCUGGUUUGGACCUCAGGGACAGAAGGGCGAUUUAUCAGUGAACUGAAAACAGGUGACCACCAGAUGAGACCAUCAACACACUGGGGAAUCAUCUAAGUGAGCAAGAGGGGACCUGAGGUUGUCAAAGGGGGCUAGUAAGACUUUGGAAACCUCACAAUUUGGAUUUGUUCUUUAUAUGAAAUUAUUGAAUGGAUUUUAGCUUCUUUGUUCUGAUGUGUCAGGGUGGACAAUUUGGUAGAUCUUCUUGAAUUGAGAGUUUAGAGUAGGAGACCAUAAAAUGGAAACAUGUUUCGGAAGCUGAAUAUUGUUGAUUUUGAUAUACUUUAUUAAUCCUUUAGAGGAAAUAGAUUUUUUUGCAUGACCUUUGGGGGUCAGAGUGCAGGGUCAGACAUUUUACAACACCACCCUUGGAGUGAUUUUCAGUAAUUGGAUUUGAACAGGCAACCUUCCAAAUACCAGCACAGAUCCUAAGCCACAGAGCCACCACUCUGCCCCAGGUCACUAAUAAAAAUAAUGCGUUUAUAUAACAUCUUUGUAAUUCUCAGAUUACUUUACAAAUAUUUAAAAGGGAUAAGAUAAGUAACACUAGAUUCAAACGUAAAGCAAGCAUUAAGCAGCAAACAUCAGAUUAAAACUUGAAAGAUAACAUUCUGAAUAAGAAUGCGAAUUUGCACCCUUAGUGAUUCCCUGAGUAUUUGACUAUCACGUGAAGGUGGACAACAUGUCUGUGUUCCCAUGAUGCACCUGCAUAUACAUGUACUGUUUGUCUGGAUUGUACACUGAUCUGUGAUCUGUGUGUUGUUAUGCAUUAGAAUAUGUGACCGGUGCUCUGGAGUUUUCUGUUCAAGUUGUAUUAUUUCACAAAUUAAUUUGUUAAUGCGUUUUUGGGACCUGUGAUACUCCUCCAGCUGAUUAAUGUCACUCUGCCAAGUUGUUAGGACUACACGAUGGCUUAUGGAAAUUAAUUCUGAAAUAACCAGCUUCCAGUGCCAGUCUCACCAAAGAUGGGCAGAAUGUGAGCACAAAAGGGUACAGCAGUAAAAAUAUGAUAGCUGCCAGGAGGAAGAAGAGCUUCCAUGGCUGGAGGGCAUCGGAGUGUCUGGAUGAAGGCAGAGGAGUGGAGGAAGGGGUUACUUAUCUUAUUGAGUAUCUUAUCAUAUCAUCAUCAUCAUUAUUAUUAUUAUUAUUGUUGUUGUUAUCUUCUCUUAUUACUUAUUAAGUUAGAAAAGGGAACUUAUUGAACGUGUAAUGUGUGAAAUGAAGACAAAGAACAAACACAAAAGCUGUGACCUGGAGUCCCAUCUGUUCUUUCCUUUUCUUAAAGGGCAGGUUCAGUCUUCUGAAGUUAAAGUUAUUUCUUCACUUUUUUGGGGGCAGUCCGCCCUCGACAGCUCUUUUUUAGGGGCGGCACUUUAAAAAAAAACUUUAGCACUGCACUUUUUAGACAAUUUUGUUUGAUAGGUCUUUGAUAUGUUGAUAGGACGUUGAUAGGAAGCUCAUGUGUGUUAUCUAUGCCAAAAUUACACCAUUUUUAAUGUUUAAAAACUGUUACAAAUACAUACAGUAUGUUGGAAAGUUAUAUUUUACAAAUGCGAAUCUUGACCAGUUUAACUACUCACUCUGACCGAAGACUUACUCCGAAGAAAAGGGACAAACCCUUCAAUCUCAUUAUUAAUAUUUUAUUAUUCUCUCGAUCUAAAGGUGAAGCAAACAAAAGAGAGUGGUGCUGCUUUUAGAAAAAUCAAAAAAGGAAGAAGUAUUAAAAAAGAA